AGAGUUUGAUCCUGGCUCAGGAUGAACGCUGGCGGCGUGCUUAACACAUGCAAGUCGAACGGGAUCCAAGAAGUGCUUGCACUUUUUGGUGAGAGUGGCGAACGGGUGAGUAACACGUGAGUAACCUGUCCUUUUCUUUGGGAUAAGCUUCCGAAAGGGUGUUUAAUACCUUAUGUUCUGUCUGCCUCGCAUGGGGUGGGUGGGAAAGAUUUUUUCGGUAAAGGGUGGGCUCGCGGUCUAUCAGCUUGUUGGUGGGGUGAUGGCCUACCAAGGCUUUGACGGGUAGCCGGCCUGAGAGGGUGGUCGGUCACAUUGGGACUGAGAUACGGCCCAGACUCCUGCGGGAGGCAGCAGUGGGGGAUAUUGCACAAUGGGCGAAAGCCUGAUGCAGCGACGCCGCGUGGGGGAUGAAGGCCUUCGGGUUGUAAACUUCUUUUGCUCUGAACAAGGCGCACCGUGGGGUGUGUUGAGUGUAGGGGUUGAUUAGCGCCGGCUAACUACGUGCCAGCAGCCGCGGUAAUACGUAGGGCGCGAGCGUUGUCCGGAAUUAUUGGGCGUAAAGGGCUUGUAGGUGGCUGGUUGCGUCUGUCGUGAAAGCUCAUGGCUUAACUGUGGGUUUGCGGUGGGUACGGGCUGGCUUGAGUGCAGUAGGGGAGGCUGGAAUUCCUGGUGUAGCGGUGGAAUGCGCAGAUAUCAGGAGGAAUACCGGUGGCGAAGGCGGGUCUCUGGGCUGUUACUGACACUGAGGAGCGAAAGCAUGGGGAGCGAACAGGAUUAGAUACCCUGGUAGUCCAUGCUGUAAACGGUGGGAACUGGGUGUGGGGGGCUUUUUUGUCUUCUGCGUCGUAGCUAACGCGUUAAGUUCCCCGCCUGGGGAGUACGGUCGCAAGGCUAAAACUCAAAGGAAUUGACGGGGGCCCGCACAAGCGGCGGAGCAUGCGGAUUAAUUCGAUGCAACGCGAAGAACCUUACCAAGGCUUGACAUGCACUGGACCGAUCCAGAGAUGGGUUUUCCUUUUUGGCUGGUGUGCAGGUGGUGCAUGGUUGUCGUCAGCUCGUGUCGUGAGAUGUUGGGUUAAGUCCC
rnacentral:rRNA from 1 species